rnacentral:rRNA from 1 species
UACGUAGGGCGCAAGCGUUGUCCGGAAUUAUUGGGCGUAAAGAGCUCGUAGGUGGUUUGUCGCGUCUGUCGUGAAAAGCCCCGGGGGCUUAACUCCGGGUCUGCGGUGGAUACGGGCAGACUAGAGGCAGGUAGGGGAGAACGGAAUUCCCGGUGUAGCGGUGAAAUGCGCAGAUAUCGGGAGGAACACCGGUGGCGAAGGCGGUUCUCUGGGCCUGUACUGACGCUGAGGAGCGAAAGCGUGGGGAGGCGAACAG